rnacentral:lncRNA from 1 species
CGCCAAACCCCCAAUAACGCGCUCCACCUGCAUGACAAAUGAGAAAACUUUUGCUGGAGGUAUUUCACAUUUAAAAUGAUCACGAUUGAUUGAAUUCGUUGUUUCAAAGUGGUCUAAAUAAACAGACAUUAAUGAGUAACACUUGUAUCGUGCUACUAGUUUUCACAACACUUUUACAACACGAUAAAUGAUGAAUUAAUCACCGAUCAAAUAUAUGAAAUGAGCUAACCGCUAGCAUCGACAGAAGCAGAAAUGGCCACGAAUAAAGCAGUGGUUGAAGGUGCAACGCUGGAGCCAGUGGAAGCUGAUCCUAAUGUGAAGACGAAAGUUGUCCAGGUUUCAGCACCUGCUCCUGCCCCGGUCCUGAAGCCCAGCUCAGUCCAGAUUCAUCCCACUCCGACCUCCUCUGCUCCUGUCAUGGUGGUGACAAAGAUGGCCGUCCCUGGAGGUCAGGUGACCAAGACCGUUCUAAACCCAGGAGUCCAGAUGAGUCCGAGUCCCGCUCCGGCCCGGACUGUGGUGAUUGCUGUCCCCAGAGCGGCUGCUCCCUCUCAACCAGUGACCGUAGCCCCCAGGCCGCCCCAGACAACCACCACUCGGCUGCCGGCAAACUUCCAAAUCCCAGCAGGUAUGAUGCUGAUCCGCAGUGACAGUGGGCAGUUGAUGCUGGUGUCGCAGCAAGCUCUGGCUCAGGCUCAAAAACAAGCUGCAAGAACCAGC